rnacentral:rRNA from 1 species
AGUGAACGCUGGCGGUAGGCCUAACACAUGCAAGUCGAACGGCAGCACAGUAAGAGCUUGCUCUUACGGGUGGCGAGUGGCGGACGGGUGAGGAAUACAUCGGAAUCUACUUUUUCGUGGGGGAUAACGUAGGGAAACUUACGCUAAUACCGCAUACGACCUACGGGUGAAAGCAGGGGAUCUUCGGACCUUGCGCGAUUGAAUGAGCCGAUGUCGGAUUAGCUAGUUGGCGGGGUAAAGGCCCACAAAGGCGACGAUCCGUAGCUGGUCUGAGAGGAUGAGCAGAGACACCGGAACUGAGGCACGGACCAGACUCCUACGAGAGGCAGCAGGGGGGAAUAUUGGACGAUGGGAGCAAGGCGGAACCAGCCAUACCGCGUGGGUGAAGAAGGCCUUCGGGUUGUGAAACCUUGUUGUUGGUAAAGAAAAGCAGCAGUUUAAUACCCCGCUGUUAUGACGGUACCAUAAGAAUAAGCACCGGCUAACUUCGUG